CCACGACCGCCUACGCCGUCUCGUUCCUCAUGGUCCUGGUUUACGCCUACGAGUCGCACCGCACCGUCCUCGGGGGGCGAGCCCGGCCCCCGGCAGCGCUGCAGGAGCGGAGCCGCUGCCUGGAGAGCGCCUGGCAGGGAAUUCCCUACGUGCUGGCCUGGUAGGUGCGCGCUGGGAGCGACCGGGCCGUGCCGGGAUGUCCGGGACUCGCACGUCCCUCCCUCCAUCGCUCCCUCCGCUCCGCUCCCCAGGCUGCUGCCGGCGCUGACGCUCCUGGCUCAGCUGCUCGCCCGCGGCUCCUCCGCCGCCGACAUCGUGCCCGUGGUGCCCUGGCACGGCCGCGGCUCCAACGCCACCCUCGGCCUUUCGACAUCGUGCCCGUGGUGCCCUGGCACGGCCGCGGCUCCAACGACACCUUCGGCCUUUACUGCUCCAGGUACGGCCCGCCCUGCCCGGGGCAGCCCCGCAGUCCCCGACCCGGGGGAGGCUUCGGCGCCCCCAGCCCCGCUCUGUCCUUGCAGCUGCCUCCUCCUGAUCCGCCCGAACCGCGACAUCUGCUCCCAGGUGGGCGCUGCGGGGCCGGGGGCUCCGGGCCGCGGGGGUCGCUGGCCGGGCCCCGCUCAUUCAUUGCCUCGCAGUCCGGCGGGGGCACGAACGUGGCGGAGAAAAUCAUCUUCCUGCUCUACGUGCUGCUGGUGCUCGGCUGCUGCUCGGUGAGGCUCGGGCUGUGCGGGGGAACGGGGGGUCCCGGCCCCGCUGACCCGCUCCCCGCAGCUCCUGUACCGGCGGGCGAGGUUCGGGGGGUCCCGGGGGGGGGGGGGGGGGGGGGGGGGGGGGGGGGGGGGGGGGGGGGGGGGGGGG
rnacentral:lncRNA from 12 species